rnacentral:rRNA from 1 species
GGGAUAACUCCGGGAAACCGGAGCUAAUACCGGAUACGUUUUUCAGACCGCAUGGUCUGAAAGAGAAAGACCUUUGGUCACGUACAGAUGGGCCUGCGGCGCAUUAGCUAGUUGGUGGGGUAACGGCCUACCAAGGCGACGAUGCGUAGCCGACCUGAGAGGGUGAUCGGCCACACUGGGACUGAGACACGGCCCAGACUCCUACGGGAGGCAGCAGUAGGGAAUCUUCCGCAAUGGACGAAAGUCUGACGGAGCAACGCCGCGUGAACGAUGAAGGUUUUCGGAUCGUAAAGUUCUGUUGUUAGGGAAGAACCGCCGGGAUGACCUCCCGGUCUGACGGUACCUAACGAGAAAGCCCCGGCUAACUACGUGCCAGCAGCCGCGGUAAUACGUAGGGGGCAAGCGUUGUCCGGAAUUAUUGGGCGUAAAGCGCGCGCAGGCGGCUUCUUAAGUCAGGUGUGAAAGCCCACGGCUCAACCGUGGAGGGCCACUUGAAACUGGGAGGCUUGAGUGCAGGAGAGGAGAGCGGAAUUCCACGUGUAGCGGUGAAAUGCGUAGAGAUGUGGAGGAACACCCGUGGCGAAGGCGGCUCUCUGGCCUGUAACUGACGCUGAGGCGCGAAAGCGUGGGGAGCGGAACAGGAUUAGAUGCCCUGGUAGUCCACGCCCGUAAACGUUGAGUGCUAGGUGUUUGGGGACUCCAAUCCU